AUGUCUGGAAGCACGGGAGAACGCUCUUCUGCUUAUAUUAUUACCAGUAUUCGAUACUGGGUUAUUCAUAGCAUUACUAUACCUUCCUUAUUCCAAAAACAAUACAGAGAACAAGACCACAAGAAAACAAUUUAA
rnacentral:rRNA from 1 species